AUUUAAUUAUCCAUGACUGUUUAUGUCUCUAGCAUGACCACUUGAUGAAAUCUGGAGGGAAGUGGGGUAAAUGGCCGAUACUACUGGAAGGAUUCCUCUUUGGAUAAUAGGUACUGUAGCUGGUAUUCUUGUAAUCGGUUUAAUAGGUAUUUUCUUUUAUGGUUCAUAUUCCGGAUUGGGUUCAUCCCUGUAGUAAUCGACUGAAUUGAGUUGUCAACAUGAAAGCGUAAGAACUUAACGGGAUUCCCUUCUUUGUUUGUUUGAUUCGAAGGGGAAGGGCCCGUUGAGUUCUUAAGAAUCAUAAUAUUUUUUUCGUCUAAAUGCUAAAACGGAUUUCUUUUUCUUUUCAAAAACUCCGUUUUUCUCAUUUUUCUGAGCAUGUUUUUGAAAAAUUCACUUCAUUGAGUUAGUCAGACCACCUCUUCUUUUUAUAUGAUAGUAUCUAUCGGUACUUUCAAAGUUGGAAGAAAGAAGGAAGAACUCAAUUUCUUGGCUGCUAUCAUAUAUUAGAUAGCGUGCAAAUCCUUUCUAUACUAAUCUAAUGUAGAACCUUACUCUCUAUAUUACAUUACUCUAUUGAUUUUUUAUUGUUUUCCUAUUUCAUCAUCAAAUUUUUUAUAAGAUAAGUUGAUUGAAGAAGUUUUAUUUAAUUAAUAAAAUUUCCUCUCUUUUUUGUUUUGUUUGUCCACCAAUUCAUAUAUUAUAUGUAAGGGGGUAGGUGUAGGGUUUCUGAUACAUCUGGAAAAAUUGAAACCAAGACUAGGAAUUUUUAACAAACAGGAUCAAGAAUCAUUACUCUUUCGUUUCGACACAAGAAAAAAGGAUUUUUCUACACCCCUUUCUUGUGUCGAAGACUAGGAAGACAAAUAAUCCCUCCUAGAAUUUUUUCUUCCCCGCAUUUAUCCCCCGCUUCCUUAUGUCUAGUAUUUAGACAAAUUUGACUUUCUUUCUAUUUAGAAUAGAAAACUAUUGAUACGUUUUAUGGCAGUGAAAUCUGGCAAUAGUAACAUAGUUACACUACUCCAAUUAAAAAAAACUAAAUCAAAAUAAAUGAAAGCCAAAUACUCUUCUUCAAAAUCUACAUACUAUGUGGUACAAGGGAUUCCCAGCAUCUCGUAGAAAAAGAGUAUGUAAUGUAGAUUUUGAAGAAGAGUAUAAAUAAGACAAAGGAGUUUUCAUAAUUUCAUUUUUUUGAUCAUAAAUAAUCGCCAACAAGAAUUUGGUUCUUUUUACGUACUUGAUAUCGAUAAAUCUGCGAAUCUAGAAAUUCAUUUCGGCCAAUUGAACCUUCUCGAACUGUUUCUUUUUAAGAACCAAAAAGAUUUGUGCCAAAAUAACAGAUGCCAAGAAGAACAAAAGUCCUUGGACACGUAAUGGAUCUUGAAGUACUAUUUCUGCAUCUCCCUGACCAAAUCCGCCUACAUUAGGAUUACUCGUUAAUGGUUGAUCAAAUUUGAUAGAUUCGCCCUCGGAAACAAGAAGUUCUGGUCCGGGAGGGAUAAUAUCAACCACUUGACGUCCCUCCGACGCAUCCGUUAUGGUUAUCUCAUACCCCCCUUUUUCUUUUCGUAUGAUUUUGCUUACUAUACCUGCUGCUGUAGCAUUAUAAACUGUAUUGUUACUCUUGUUGCCGUCGGGAUAAAUCUGACCCCUUCCCCUGUUCCCGCCUACGUAUAUAGGAUAUUUUAAGAAGUGAACAUCCUUCUUAGUAGCAGGGUCCGGGGAAAGAAUAGGGAAGGUUAUUUCACUAUAUUUUUUACCAGGGACAGGGCCUACCACAAGAAUAUUUGUUUUAUUGGGGCGAUAGCUCUGAAAAGACAAAUUGCCAAUCUUUUCUUUCAUCUCAGGAGAAAUACGAUCGGGAGGAGCUAAUUCAAACCCCUCCGGUAAAAUAAGAACAGCUCCGACGUUCAACCCCCCUUUUUUACCAUUAGCAAGAACCUGUUUCAGUUGCAUAUCAUAAGGAAUUCGAACAACUGCUUCAAAUACAGUAUCAGGAAGUACCGCUUGUGGAACCUCAAUUUCCACGGGCUUAUUAGCUAAAUGGCAAUUGGCACAUACAAUACGCCCAGUCGCUUCUCGUGGAUUUUCAUAACCCUGCUGUGCAAAAAUGGGAUAUGCACUUGAAAUGGACGUCCGAGUUAAGAUAUAUAUCAUGAGCGAUACGGAAAUAGAUCGAGUAAUCUGUUUCUUUAGCCAAGAAAAAGCAUUUCUAGUUUGCAUGGUCCAAUCAUUGAUCGCGAAAAUUUCUACAAUAAAUUGGGUAGGUCGCUAGUAUAGUUCCCUAGCCACGAUUCUGCUAUUUGCUGGAAUAAUCUAGGAUGAAUCUUCCCGAUGGUUAGAAAUAGGAAGAGUAAAUAUGAUUUUCAAUACUUUGCUUAUGUACAACUACAAAGUACUAAGCAUUCUAAUUGGAUUAGAUUAAUAUCAAUGGAUCCUUUAUCAUUCAGUUAUUGAAUCAUAAAGCAGUAAAAUUGACGGAGACAGACUAGUUAAAUAACGGAAAAGCCAAUAUUUAAAACAUGUAUCAAAAAUUACUGGAAGGAUGCAAACAAGAAUAGUUAUAGUUUGCUCAUUCGCAACAACUCCAACCUCGUUAUAGAUAGAGCGUAUAACGAAUUCCCAACCUGGGGGUGAAUGAUAUCCGAGAAAAAACUCACUUACUAGAAGAAUACACAAAGCUUUUGCUGUGUCACUUAAGUUAUAUAGGAAUUCCUGAGCCCAAGAGUUAAGAAUAACAAGUUUUUCCUUACCCAAAAUUGAAUACCCGCUUAGAAUACCAAACCAGAUUAUAUUUGUUGAGAAGUGCAAAAUCGUAUCCAUACGAUUCUCAUUUUGUAUCGUGAUUAAUUGGAUCGUUUCUUUAUGGAUUCCUAUCCCAAACUCUUCGAGAUGUGUUUCCGAGUAUUCCUUGAUCAUUUCGUCCAAGAAGAGGAGUUCCUCUAAUUCUCUGAAUUUUUCUAGAAGACUCUUUUCUUGAAUAUUAUUCAAGACAAUUUGGGAUUGCCCAGUAUUCCACCAAUUAGUAACCCAAGAUUCCAGCCAUUUAUUAACUGAGAAAGAAAUCCACCAGGGCAAAAAUACUAUAGAUGCAAGAUAGAAAAGAGGAGUGAAUGCUUUCUUUUUUGCCAUUUUUUCGUCUGUAAAUUGUUAAUCAACCCAUUCGUACACUCUAUGCGAUCGAAUAUUUCUUACACACAUGAGUUUUAUACAAGGUAUCGAACUUAUGAAUCUAUUUUCUUUGUGAUUUUGUGGUUAGUCUUUGAAUCUAGAAAGAAUACAGAAAUAGGCUAAGAAUUCACUUCGAAUGAAGAAAUUGAGAAUAUUGUUUCCUGAUAUCUCAAUUGGUCAAAUUAAAAAUUAAGUGUAUCCUUUCGAUGAAUGACCGAAAGAACCACUUUAAGUAAUGAAUAUUAUUCAGAUUUUGAGACGAAAGAACUCCUUUGCUAUCAAAAUAUCCAAUAUUUCGAAAAAAUUUCAUUGAUUACCCAUAGUCAGGAAUAGAAUAAUUGAGGGAAAGAUAUUAGGAUGAUAAAAAAAAAAUGACUAGCAAAGGAUAAAUUGGCUAGUUCUCAGUAUUUAAUUAAGAAAUCCAAUUGUUGGUCAUUAAAGAAUACAAAAGAAAGAAUUUCAAAUUUACAAGAUACGAUCUAUCUGGAUCUAAAGUGUCAAUUCCAACAAAUAUUGAACUAAAAAAAAUUCUUGCUUUCGAAAUGGUUUGCCGUCUGAGAUGAAUCUAUUAUUUCGAUUUGUUAUUUGUUAUUGAAUUGCGUGCACAUAAAGACCAUAAAAAGAGUUUCGUUUUAUGGUUCUUUCAUAUACGUUUUCUUUAAUUGAAUGAACGUUCUGAUUCUCAAUUUAUCAAAAUACUUCAAUUGGUACACGCAAGAAAUAGGCUAAUUCAGCAGCCUUUUGUUCAAUUUCUCGUGGAGUCAAAUUCUCAUCAGUACGGGUCAAGGGAAUGGACCCCUGGCCUCGGAUGUCCAUAUAAAGAACACGACGAGCAUAAAUACCCUCUUUAACUUCUAUUCUAACGGACUGAAUAUCUUUUAUAAGGAAUCGGAGGAAUAUGCGACGAUUUUUUCCCGGAAAUCCCCAACGAAAGAUACAGACUAUUCCCUCCUUUCUAUCGAAUCGAUCAUAACCACUACCUACAUUCCAGGAAAUUGUGCACCACAAAUAAGAGCUAAUAAAGAGACCCGCAAUUCCGUAGAAAGACAUCACGAUUCCUUGUGGAAAAAAAAUGAUUUGCUGAGGCGGAAAAAAAGAUAGCAAAUUUCUACCAAGAUAACUGGAAGUUCCAACUAAUAAGAAGCCUAAUGAACCUAAAAAAAGGAUCAAGGCCCAGCAGAAAUUACUUAUUUUUCGAGACCCCGUUAUAAGUUCUAUCCAUAUAUCGUCUGAUCGCCAAGUCAUACUUUACUCGAUUGCAUUUUAUUGGAAUUGAGAUAAUACCCCAGAAAAAUUUGACUUUACUUUUUUGUUUCCGAAGUAACUCUCAUCAACUAGCACUAGUUUGAGGUGAACUAGCACUAGUUUGAUGUCAACCUUUAGGAGUAAUUCAUCAAAUUGGUUAAAUCUAAAAUAAUAACAUACUCUUUAUUUAAUACGAUCCCACUAUACAUAUCGAUAUACAUAUAGAUUCACCGACUACAUUUCAGCCAUCCAGAGAUCCUGAUCUAUUUGAAAAUUGCUAGAAUUGAUAUAUCCAUAUAUCAUGUUUCUGCGGGCAUAAGAGUUUUUUCCUUUAUGUUCGGUGGAAAUCACAUGUUAUACUAUACUCCAAUAAAUAGAUAUCCGUGUUAUGAUACAAGUCCACGUUUUCAAAAAAAAAAAUGGAUGAGAUUGGGUCCCAGCGGAUCUAAACAAUCUUGUUUUUUUGAACAUGAAGAAAUAAAGAAGCCAUUGCAAUUGCCGGAAAGACUAGGCCUACUAACGGCACAAAAAUAGAUGGAAGGUUCAAAUUUGUCAUAGAAGGGGUACCUCGAUUUACUAUUUGUAUCUGUUAUUAUGUUAUUAUAUAAAUAAAGAUAUCUUGUAAUAAUUAUAAUUAAAUUAAGAAUUUGAAUUCUAAUUAGAUAUUAGAUAAUAUUUAUUAUUAAUAGAAUUUGAAGAAUUUGAAAUUCUUAGUAUAGAUCGAAGUAUCGAUAUAUCUAAAUCUAACUGAGUACGUAUAAUAAGAAUAAGUGCAAAGAAUGUAGAACUGUAGAACUAAAUAAAUGGACUUAUUCAUCUCCUCCAUGAGAAAGAUAUGUAUGAUAAUAAACUUUAUUAUUUUUCUUCAUUUCUUUGUCUUUUGUUCUUGUCUUCUACUUUUCUAAAAAUAGAUAAAGAGUUUUUUACAGAUUAUCGACGGAUUCAUUCGAAUCCGACCCAACAUGGAUUUUUAGCUAAAAUGGUUUUUCGGUAGAUAGAGAAAGAUACAAAACUCUAUUAUCUCUAUUGAAAUUUCAAAUUAUAUACCUAAGACAAGACCAAAUUCGUUUUAUUUUACUAAUUUCACGAAAGGAAGAACUCACUCUUGGUGAUAAAGGUUUCUUGAUUCGUAAUCAGGAAUAUAGGUCAAAAAAAGAGUUAUCCUCAACUUUCGUUUUAAUUCUUUCUACAAUUCGAUCUUCUAUCACCAAAGAAAAGGCCAUUAUUAUCUUAUUUACUUUGAUUCCGAUAAACUAACUACUUUUUGCUACAAACACAAAAAAAAUAAUUGAACUUAGUGCUCUACUUGAUUUUGCUUGACUUUUGAUUCAAAGGAAAAAAGGCGUGGAGCUUAAAUAACUCACUCAGAACGCUUUUUAAAAGAUUACGUGGUACAAUUAGGUCGAAUAAACCCUUCUGGAAUAAGUAUUCAGCUGCUUGUGAACCUUCGGGUACUGUUUUAUUCAAUGUUUGUUCAAUUACUCUUUUACCUGCAAAUGCAAUGUAGGCAUUGGGUUCGGCAAUAAUGAUAUCCCCCAACAUACCAAAACUAGCUGUCACUCCACCAGUUGUCGGAGAUGUAAGGAUUGAUACAUAAAAUAAUUUUUUAUUUAAUUGAUAAUCAUAUAAAGCAGACGAUAUUUUAGCCAUUUGCAUCAAGCUCAAACUUCCUUCCUGCAUGCGCGCCCCCCCAGAAGCACACACUAUCAUAAGAGGUAAAUUUUGAUUGGCAGCGUGUUCAAUCAAACGGGUGAUUUUCUCUCCGACUACGGAUCCCAUACUACCCCCCAUAAACUGAAAAUCCAUAACCCCAAUUGCUACGGGAAUGCCGUUUAGUUGGCCUAUGCCUGUUUGAACAGCCUCGGUUAAUCCUGUCUUUCUUUGAUAAGAAUCAAUACGGUCCUUAUAAGGCUCCUCCUCCGAAUGAAAUUCAAUGGGAUCCAGCGAGACCAUGUCUUCAUCCAUAGGAUCCCAAGUACCCGGAUCGAUCAAAAGUUCAAUUCUAUCCGAACUACUCAUUUUCAAAUGAUAUCCACAUUGUUCACAAAUAUUCAUUUUUGAUUUCAAAAAUUUCUUAUAAUUUAAUCCAUAACAAUUUUCGCAUUGAACCCACAAAUGCUUGUAUUUUUGAGUUACCUCGAGAUCAUUAGAACUUUCUCUUAUAGUUAAAUCACUGUCCUUUGUGCGAGUUCGUCUACUGGAACCCUCGUUUUCACUACUAUUUAGACUUUGACCACUACAAAUGGCCCUAUAAAUGUAACUGUCACCGUUACUCUCACUACCACUUAUAAUGGAAGUAUCUAUACAGAUUUGAGACUGAAGAUAAUUAUCAAUGCAACUAUUAAUGUGAUUAUUCCAACUAUAUUGAGUAUCAUACAUGUAAGAAUUAUAGUAGGGAUCUUCGCCCCUAAAUCCAUUAUUCAGAUAACUCGAGUUUCGAUAACUAUAAAAAGAACUUUCUAGUUCACUCAGAAAAGAAUGAUCGUUGUCAACCUCAAAAAUAUGAUUUUCAAUAUCAAAAUAGAUGGAAUAACUGUCCCCAUUCCUAUCACUAACUAAAAAAGUGUCAUUAGAGAUGAAAUUCCAAAUGUCUUUAACGCCGAAUAAAUAAUCAACAUUACUGCAACUAUGAAUGUUUUUCACUUUUAGAUUUGGAUCUUCACUGGUAUUUUCAAUAGGACCAAGACUGCCCAUUGAUUUAUUUAGCCCACACCUGCGUUCGAACUCCUUCUUAAACAACAUCGAAUUAAACCACCAUCUUUCCAUAGAGUUUUCUUGCCCCCUAUUUGCAUGAAAAUACAAUAGAUGAAUAGUCAUUCGCUAUAAAAUUCUUUAUUUGAAUAUCUUAUUUCCUAUCAGACUAAGCAUAGAAAUCCAAUCACUAGGAUUAUUAACUAAUACGGAUUGUGAGUAUUCAAAAAAAGUUCUGAAUCUGGGGGAACACUUCACUAUAUAUUAAUAUGUUGGAACCCCCUUUUAUUAUUAAAAAGAAUAUAAAAAUAAUAGAAUUUUUGAUAAAGGGCGGCUUCUCCUAUGUCGUGUCAAAUUCGCAUCGAAAAAAAGAGAUUUGUCCUCUCUUAUAAA
rnacentral:lncRNA from 1 species